rnacentral:tRNA from 1 species
GGCUGUAGCUCAGCUGGAUAGAGUAUCUGGCUUCGAACCAGGUGGUCGCAGGUUCGAAUCCUGCCAGCCG